rnacentral:rRNA from 1 species
UGGGGAAUUUUGGACAAUGGGCGCAAGCCUGAUCCAGCAAUGCCGCGUGAGUGAAGAAGGCCUUCGGGUUGUAAAGCUCUUUUGUCAGGGAAGAAACGGUUGGGGCUAAUAUCCCCGGCCAAUGACGGUACCUGAAGAAUAAGCACCGGCUAACUACGUGCCAGCAGCCGCGGUAAUACGUAGGGUGCAAGCGUUAAUCGGAAUUACUGGGCGUACAGCGUGCGCAGGCGGUUUUGUAAGUCUGACGUGAAAUCCCCGGGCUCAACCUGGGAAUUGCGUUGGAGACUGCAAGGCUGGAGUCUGGCAGAGGGGGGUAGAAUUCCACGUGUAGCAGUGAAAUGCGUAGAGAUGUGGAGGAACACCGAUGGCGAAGGCAGCCCCCUGGGUCAAGAUUGACGCUCAUGCACGAAAGCGUGGGGAGCAAACAGGAUUAGAUACCCUGGUAGUCCACGCCCUAAACGAUGUCUACUAGUUGUCGGGUUUUAAUUAACUUGGUAACGCAGCUAACGCGUGAAGUAGACCGCCUGGGGAGUACGGUCGCAAGAUUA